UACGGGGGGUGCAAGCGUUGCUCGGAAUUAUUGGGCGUAAAGGGUAGGUAGGUGGUCUCAUUUGUCUGGGGUGAAAGCCUUGAGCUUAACUCAAGAAGUGCCCCAGAAACGGUGAGACUCGAGUCCUGGAGAGGGUCGUGGAAUUCCCGGUGUAGCGGUGAAAUGCGUAGAGAUCGGGAGGAACACCAGAGGCGAAGGCGGCGACCUGGACAGGUACUGACACUCAACUACGAAAGCGUGGGGAGCAAACAGG
rnacentral:rRNA from 1 species